GGCCGUCUAGCUCAGUUGGUUAGAGCGUCGUGCUAAUAUAUGGUGUGCCAUAAAUGUUACGCGAAGGUCUUGGGUUCGACCCCCACGAUGGCCA